GCAAUCUUUCAUGAGCUGGACAAUUGUCCCCUGUGUGAGGCAGUGAAGUCUGGCUAGCACCCUGCACAUAGGAAUAUCAAGGCCCCUUUUCCCUUUCUUGCUUUGCCUCCUCAACCACACUCUCCCCUUUGUAGCAUCUGUGUCACUAAGGAAACCAUGGUAACAUCAGUGCCUCUGCUGAGCAUGGUGACCACUCAAAAGAGGGAGAGUGAGUUCAGCCUAUCAUUUGAGAUCCGAGUAUGAUUGGGGAAAUAUCCUGAAAUAGUCCAUGAUUUGAAGAAAUGGAUAGAUUGCUAGAAUAAUAUGCUAGAUGGUAGUCAAAUUACUAACUGCAGAAUUGAUUUGAUAAAAUUCUCAUCAUGUCUCCUAAUUUAGGAGAAAUAUUAGGUCUGAUGAAUGAGUAAAAUUCCCAGGUGAAAGAAUUUGGUCUGUAAGAUUUGGCAACACCCUGAGGUUUGCCAUAUCUGAUGGUCUGGCUUUAGUGGCAGCAUCUAGUGAAGACCCAGGUGUCCUUCUGACAACCUUUACCGCCUACCAUUUUGUCCUUACUCAUGUUGAAUCACUAUGCACAGGCUGUUGAAUUCAUCUGUCUGUGGAAUAAUUAUACCAACCACAUGGUUAGACAGAAGGAAUACAAUAUAUUGCUUAAUUUGUAUCUACAAAGCUAAGCAACAUGGAAAAAAAAAAAAACAAGCCUGCUCAGUCACUUCCAUGAGGAUAAAUGAAGACACUUCAAGGAGGCCAUUGACAUGGAUCUGCCAGCUUUCUAAGCCUUUCCCAGAUUUAAGCCCAGUCACAUCAAGUUGCCGUAUUAAAGGGUCUGCCCACUCAAAAGGAGAAAGUGCAAAAGAUGCUCAGCAAGGGUACCAAACGCAGUCAGAUGAUGCUCCCUGACAGCAUCCGAGAGCAAGCCUCACCACCACCUCUGUUAAUAAAAAAGAAAACGAGGAGUCGCCAAUUUGUCUAUUUAAAGAUGCCAAUAAAAUCCUGCACAGAACUUUAGUCAACAAGACUAUUUCAGAAGGGGUGGCCAGCAGCGUGGCCUUUCACUGGCAAGGGCCACCUUUGUCAUCACUUAAGAAAUAAAACCUGCCAAGUUUUCUGUGAGGCUCUCAAUAAAUCUUACUGAG
rnacentral:lncRNA from 1 species